UAGUCAUAUGCUUGUCUCAAAGAUUAAGCCAUGCAUGUCUAAGCACAAGCCGAUUAAUGGUGAAGCCGCGAAUGGCUCAUUACAACAGCCAUAGUUUCUUAGAUCUUACUUUUCUACUUGGAUAACUGUGGUAAUUCUAGAGCUAAUACACGCAAACAAGCUCAGACCUUACGGAAUGAGCGCAUUUAUUAGAACAAAAACCAAUCGGACUUUCGGGUCCGUCAUUUGGUGAAUCUGAAUAACUUUGCUGAUCGCACGGUCAUCGUACCGGCGACAUAUCUUUCAAAUGUCUGCCUUAUCAACUUUCGAUGGUAGUUUAUGCGCCUACCAUGGUUGUAACGGGUAACGGAGAAUAAGGGUUCGACUCCGGAGAGGGAGCCUGAGAAACGGCUACCACAUCCAAGGAAGGCAGCAGGCACGCAAAUUACCCACUCCCGGCACGGGGAGGUAGUGACGAAAAAUAACGAGACGGCUCGCUAUGCGGUCCGUCAUCGGAAUGGGUACAAUUUAAAUCCUUUAACGAGGAUCUAUU
rnacentral:rRNA from 1 species